UUGAAUCCUUAGGAUGUUGCUGGCCUCUCUGGGGGCAUGUGCACUCCGCCUUUCAAUACACCUGUGAACUCAUUGUAGGCGGCAGAUGUAACAAUCUGUUGCCUAUGUUUUUAUAAACCCUAAAUGUAUAUUGAAUGUAAUUAUGGUUGAUAAAACUUUAAUA
rnacentral:misc_RNA from 1 species